rnacentral:rRNA from 1 species
UACGUAUGGGGCGAGCGUUGUUCGGAAUUAUUGGGCGUAAAGGGCGUCUAGGCGGGGGAUUAAGUUAGAUGUGAAAGCUAUGGGCUCAACCCAUAAAUUGCAUCUAAGACUGGUUCUCUUGAGUUCGGGAGAGGAGAGCGGAAUUCCAGGUGUAGCGGUGAAAUGCGUAGAUAUCUGGAAGAACACCAGUGGCGAAGGCGGCUCUCUGGCCUAGAACUGACGCUGAAGCGCGAAAGCGUGGGGAGCGAACAGGAUUAGAUACC